UAGGGAAUAUUAGAAAUGGACGCAAGUCUGAUCUAGCAACACCGCGUGUGCGAAGAAGGCCUUCGGGUCGUAAAGCACUUUUUGGAAGGAAUAGGAAGGAAUGUACUUCCAGAAUAAGUCUCGGCUAACUACGUGCCAGCAGCCGCGGUAACACGUAGGAGGCAAACGUUAUCCGGAUUUACUGGGCGUAAGGCGCGUGUAGGUGGUACUGUAAGUAGGGCGUGAACGCUCCUGGCUCAACUGGGAGAGGCCGUUCUAAACUACAGAACUAGAGGAUGGUAGAGGGAGGUGGAAUUCCAGGUGUAGCGGUGGAAUGCGCAGAUAUCUGGAGGAACACCGGUGGCGAAGGCGGCCUCCUGGACCAUUCCUGACACUCAGACGCGAAAGCUAGGGUAGCAAACGG
rnacentral:rRNA from 1 species